UACGGGGGGGGCAAGCGUUGUUCGGAAUUACUGGGCGUAAAGGGCUCGUAGGCGGUUUGUCGCGUCGGGAGUGAAAACACUGGGCUUAACUCAGUGCUUGCUUUCGAUACGGGCAGACUAGAGGUAUGCAGGGGAGAACGGAAUUCCUGGUGUAGCGGUGAAAUGCGCAGAUAUCAGGAGGAACACCGGUGGCGAAGGCGGUUCUCUGGGCAUUACCUGACGCUGAGGAGCGAAAGUGUGGGGAGCGAACAGG
rnacentral:rRNA from 1 species